UACGAAGGGGGCUAGCGUUGUUCGGAAUUACUGGGCGUAAAGCGCACGUAGGCGGAUCGAUCAGUCAGGGGUGAAAUCCCAGAGCUCAACUCUGGAACUGCCUUUGAUACUGUCGAUCUGGAGUAUGGAAGAGGUGAGUGGAAUUCCGAGUGUAGAGGUGAAAUUCGUAGAUAUUCGGAGGAACACCAGUGGCGAAGGCGGCUCACUGGUCCAAUUACUGACGCUGAGGUGCGAAAGCGUGGGGAGCAAACAGG
rnacentral:rRNA from 1 species